UGGGCCCGAGUUUGAUCAUGGCUCAGGACGAACGCUGGCGGCGUGCUUAACACAUGCAAGUCGAACGGUGAUGAUGGGAGCUUGCUCUUGUCUGAUCAGUGGCGAACGGGUGAGUAACACGUGAGUAACCUGCCCCAGACUCUGGGAUAACCCCGGGAAACCGGAGCUAAUACCGGAUAUGACACCAAUCCGCAUGGGUAUGGUGUGGAAAGUUUUUCGGUCUGGGAUGGACUCGCGGCCUAUCAGCUUGUUGGUGAGGUAGUGGCUCACCAAGGCGACGACGGGUAGCCGGCCUGAGAGGGCGACCGGCCACACUGGGACUGAGACACGGCCCAGACUCCUACGGGAGGCAGCAGUGGGGAAUAUUGCACAAUGGGCGAAAGCCUGAUGCAGCGACGCCGCGUGAGGGAUGACGGCCUUCGGGUUGUAAACCUCUUUCAGCAGGGACGAAGCGAAAGUGACGGUACCUGCAGAAGAAGCACCGGCCAACUACGUGCCAGCAGCCGCGGUUAG
rnacentral:rRNA from 1 species